GUGCACGCUGGCGGUAGGCCUAACACAUGCCCGUCGAACGGCAGCACAGUAAGAGCUUGCUCUUACGGGUGGCGAGUGGCGGACGGGUGAGGAAUACAUCGGAAUCUACUUUUUCGUGGGGGAUAACGUAGGGAAACUUACGCUAAUACCGCAUACGACCUACGGGUGAAAGCAGGGGAUCUUCGGACCUUGCGCGAUUGAAUGAGCCGAUGUCGGAUUAGCUAGUUGGCGGGGUAAAGGCCCACCAAGGCGACGAUCCGUAGCUGGUCUGAGAGGAUGAUCAGCCACACUGGAACUGAGACACGGUCCAGACUCCUACGGGAGGCAGCAGUGGGGAAUAUUGGACAAUGGGCGCAGGCCUGAUCCAGCCAUACCGCGUGGGUGAAGAAGGCCUUCGGGUUGUAAAGCCCUUUUGUUGGGAAAGAAAAGCAGCAGGUUAAUACCCCGCUGUUCUGACGGUACCCAAAGAAUAAGCACCGGCUAACUUCGUG
rnacentral:rRNA from 1 species